CAGAUGAGUCUCGGUGCACAAUAAGCACCGCGGGGGAAUACGCAGACAUCUACAAAUCUACAGCCCCCCCGCAAACCACCGUAAAAGUUUUAUCAUCAAAUCAACAACAAAAAGUGACAAGAAGAUGGAAAUGAAAGCCAACGUCUGUCUGAGGGUUCUGAGGUGUGUGACGGACAAAACGAGACAUGAGAAGACCCCCAACCGCUCUUCACGUUUAACGGUAUUUGGCAGAUUCAUCAAUAAUAGAGGAGAAAUAUUCGUUGGUUCUUCGUUUCUUAUGUUAGGUGCCGUACAACACACUGACAACACGGGGUCCCGGGCGAGCGAAUCCGCUGUUCCCCAGCAGAAGUAAGGACUCUGGAAGGUCGACCAACAAAACAACCUCUGGGAUCUGUGGGCACAACAACAAGCGGUCCCCCCCGGGUGGAGGCAGGGGGGUGUUAGCCCGGGGAGGGGAGGUGGAGAGGUUGUCAGGAGAUGUCCUUAUCGGCUGGAUUAAACAUUGAAUCCUGCAGGGAGGGAAGGGCAAACAAAAACAAAAGCGAAACAGUAUUCCUGAGAUGUCAUCAUAUCAUAGACACCGCUCGGUCCAGCUGUGAGACCCCCACACUGGGAUCCACUGUCCCCCCCCCCCCGGUCCCCUGAAGCUGCCCCCCCUCUCAACACAGGGCAUCUUUCACAGCCCUCCCUUUCGCUCUGAAUACCAAUGAAAAGGGGCUAAAUCACACCAUCACAUGACAAGAUUUCCACGUCCAGGACCGUCGGGCUGCUGCAGUGCAGGAAAACGAGUGCACCGUCCCCCUUCCCCACCGGGCGGUUGACGGGCGGUGAUUUAGUCCGAUCCCCACCAACCUCUUCCCGCCCCCGCUGCCUGCCAUGAUCUCGCUCACACAAACGGAUUAACCUGCAGAACCAGUUGGCCGAUGCACCUUCCUGUGUCACACACACACACACACACACACACACACACACACACACACGGACCUGAGCCACGAUGCUAACUCGGCGCUAGCCGCUAGCACGAUCGGACACUCCGAUGAGGCGGCGGGCGGCUAAUUCCCGGGAGCGAACGUAAACACAAACACGACAUCAGAAAAAAUGA